CGCCUCCAAAAAUCUACAGCUGGCAGUGGAGAACUUCUUCCUCUUGUUCCCUAGCUUCUUGCCUAACUGUGACAUGCAUUUACAAUACAUUUAGUCUUGUAUCAAGAGCCAUAAUCUACGUGCCAAUUAUAAUAUAGGAAACUUUAAUUGAUUCAACUCCCCCGUUCCCUAAAUCUUUUUUUUUCUUCUCUUUUUCUUUUUCUAUUAAUUAACUCAUCAUUUAUGUAUACUAGGGAUUCCCUUGCAUGAGUACAAGGUCCCU
rnacentral:lncRNA from 1 species